rnacentral:lncRNA from 1 species
AUGGCCCCCACCAAGACCUCCCGCUCUUUCUGCGGCUGCGCAGGCCCACCUCGCCUCUUCUGCGGCUGCGCAGGCUCCGCCCGGGACCGUCUGCUGCUGUGUGGCCGGGCCUCACGCGGAGCUGAGGUGCAGCUUGAAGGAAAUGGAUCUCUAACAGAGAUCACUUUAGGCAGUAAGUUUUCAGACAGUCUCCAUAUGCCAGGCUGUGUUCAAGGACCUAUGAAAACAGCGGUGGACGAGAAAGAUGUAAUCGGUGUCCCUGUGGAGUUUACAACCUGGAGGAGCCCAUGGUGGUAAAUGGUACCCAUCAGAAGGCAUGAGUAGAGGUGUGCUGACAGUGACAAGCCAGCCCUGCCAGGGCAACGAGGACUGGGAACCUUCAAAUGAUUUUGAAAUUAGAGAAGGCCAAGGCACCCAAGAGGUAACCCAAGAGGUAAGCCCAGCACCCAAGGAAAGGAGGAACCAUCUCUUGGCCCAGCCUGCCCCCAGGGUGCAGAUCAAAGCUGAUAGCUGGAAUCUGUUCCAGUUUCCAAGGAGUGUGCUCUUUAUAG